rnacentral:lncRNA from 1 species
CUCCACCAGAGCGUGAACAGCCAAAAAGGCCUCCAUGAUGCUGGGCCCUAACACCCAGAGAGGAUCCGGGAGCUCCACGGAGAAAUGAGAAACCCAGGAAGGAACACACCAGGCUAGAUGUAAGGUAGAAUGAGCCAUAGAAUAUGCCAUCGGAAUGAAGAGAAUAGCUUCGUCUUUCAGACAUGAGAUGAUUCCCAACA